rnacentral:rRNA from 1 species
AACGAACGCUGGCGGCAGGCUUAACACAUGCAAGUCGAACGCCCCGCAAGGGGAGUGGCAGACGGGUGAGUAACGCGUGGGAAUCUACCCAAUUCUACGGAAUAACCCAGGGAAACUUGGACUAAUACCGUAUACGCCCUACGGGGGAAAGAUUUAUCGGAAUUGGAUGAGCCCGCGUAAGAUUAGCUAGUUGGUGGGGUAAUGGCCUACCAAGGCGACGAUCUUUAGCUGGUCUGAGAGGAUGAUCAGCCACACUGGGACUGAGACACGGCCCAGACUCCUACGGGAGGCAGCAGUGGGGAAUAUUGGACAAUGGGCGCAAGCCUGAUCCAGCCAUGCCGCGUGAGUGAUGAAGGCCUUAGGGUUGUAAAGCUCUUUCAGUGGGGAAGAUAAUGACGGUACCCACAGAAGAAGCCCCGGCUAACUUCGUGCCAGCAGCAGCCGCCG